AGCGCAUACGGUGGAUGCCUAGGCAGUAAGAGGCGAUGAAGGACGUUGUAGCAUGCGAUAAGUCUCGGGGAGUUUGCAAACUAACUUUGAUCCGAGAAUUUCCGAAUGGGGAAACCCGGCUUGCAUCAGCAAGUCAUCUUGCAGUGAAUACAUAGCUGCAUGAAGCGAACCCGGAGAACUGAAACAUCUAAGUACCCGGAGGAAAAGAAAUCAACCGAGAUUCCCUUAGUAGCGGCGAGCGAACGGGGAUUAGCCCUUAAGUUACUACAGAGUUAGUGGAACCGUCUGGAAAGUCGGGCGAUACAGGGUGAUAGCCCCGUACACGAAAACCUGUAGUAGUGAAAACGAGUAGGUCGGAGCACGUGAAACUUUGACUGAACAUGGGGGGACCAUCCUCCAAGGCUAAAUACUCCUUACUGACCGAUAGUGAACCAGUACCGUGAGGGAAAGGCGAAAAGAACCCCGGAGAGGGGAGUGAAAUAGAUCCUGAAACCGUAUGCGUACAAGCAGUGGGAGCACCCGUGUGGUGUGACUGCGUACCUUUUGUAUAAUGGGUCAGCGACUUAAUCUCAGUGGCAAGCUUAACCGAAUAGGGGAGGCGUAGCGAAAGCGAGUCUUAAUAGGGCGAAUUAGUCGCUGGGAUUAGACCCGAAACCGGGCGAUCUAUCCAUGGCCAGGCUGAAGGUGAGGUAAUACUUACUGGAGGGCCGAACCCACGUCUGUUGAAAAAGACGGGGAUGAGCUGUGGAUCGGAGUGAAAGGCUAAUCAAGCUCGGAGAUAGCUGGUUCUCCUCGAAAGCUAUUUAGGUAGCGCCUCGUGUAUAACUGUUGGGGGUAGAGCACUGUUUCGGCUAGGGGGUCAUCUCGACUUACCAACCCGAUGCAAACUCCGAAUACCAACAAGUUCGAGCACGGGAGACACACGGCGGGUGAUAAGGUCCGUCGUGGAAAGGGAAACAGCCCAGACCGUCAGCUAAGGUCCCAAAAUCUAUGCUCAGUGGGAAACGAUGUGGAAAGGCCCAGACAGCCAGGAGGUUGGCUUAGAAGCAGCCAUCCUUUAAAGAAAGCGUAAUAGCUCACUGGUCGAGUCGGUCUGCGCGGAAGAUUUACCGGGGCUAAGCAUAGUACCGAAGCUACGGGUUCAUCUUAUAGAUGAGCGGUAGAGGAGCGUUCUGUACGCCUGCGAAGGUGAACUGAGAAGUUUGCUGGAGGUAUCAGAAGUGCGAAUGCUGACAUGAGUAACGUUAAUGGGGGUGAAAAGCCCCCACGCCGUAAGCGCAAGGUUUCCUACGCAACGUUCAUCGGCGUAGGGUGAGUCGGCCCCUAAGGCGAGGCAGAGAUGCGUAGCUGAUGGGAAACAGGUCAAUAUUCCUGUACCGAUCAAUAGUGCGAUGUGGGGACGGAGAAGGUUAGCUCGGCCGGGUGUUGGAUGUCCCGGUUCAAGCCUGUAGCCAUGCCCUGUAGGCAAAUCCGCAGGGCUUAGGUGAGAGGUGAUAACGAGGCCGCUUGCGGCCGAAGUGAGUGAUACCCUGCUUCCAGGAAAAGCCACUAAGCUUCAGCUAUUGACGACCGUACCGCAAACCGACACUGGUGCGCGUGAUGAGUAUUCUCAGGCGCUUGAGAGAACUCUGGAGAAGGAACUCGGCAAAUUGACACCGUAACUUCGGAAGAAGGUGUGCCUUUAGUAGGUGAAGUCCCAUGCGGAUAGAGCCCAAUGAGGCCGCAGAGAAUCGGUGGCUGCGACUGUUUAUUAAAAACACAGCACUCUGCAAAGACGAAAGUCGACGUAUAGGGUGUGACGCCUGCCCGGUGCUGGAAGAUUAAAUGAUGGGGUUCUCACGAGAAGCUCUUGAUUGAAGUCCCAGUAAACGGCGGCCGUAACUAUAACGGUCCUAAGGUAGCGAAAUUCCUUGUCGGGUAAGUUCCGACCUGCACGAAUGGCGUAACGAUGGCCACACUGUCUCCUCCAGAGACUCAGUGAAAUUGAAAUUGCGGUGAAGAUGCCGUAUACCCGCGGCUAGACGGAAAGACCCCGUGAACCUUUACUAUAGCUUGACACUGGACUUUGAAUCGAUUUGUGUAGGAUAGGUGGGAGACUUAGAAGCAGGAACGCCAGUUCUUGUGGAGUCGACCUUGAAAUACCACCCUGGUUUAUUUGAAGUUCUAACCUAGGUCCGUCAUCCGGAUUGGGGACAGUGUCUGGUGGGUAGUUUGACUGGGGCGGUCUCCUCCUAAAGAGUAACGGAGGAGCACGAAGGUACCCUCAGCCUGGUCGGAAAUCAGGCGAUGAGUGCAAUGGCAUAAGGUUGCUUGACUGCGAGACGGACAGGUCGAGCAGGUGCGAAAGUAGGUCAUAGUGAUCCGGUGGUUCUGUAUGGAAGGGCCAUCGCUCAACGGAUAAAAGGUACUCUGGGGAUAACAGNCUGAUUCCGCCCAAGAGUUCAUAUCGACGGGGGAGUUUGGCACCUCGAUGUCGGCUCAUCACAUCCUGGGGCUGUAGCCGGUCCCAAGGGUAUGGCUGUUCGCCAUUUAAAGUGGUACGUGAGCUGGGUUUAAAACGUCGUGAGACAGUUUGGUCCCUAUCUGCCGUGGGCGUUGGAAAUUUGAAGGGACCUGCUCCUAGUACGAGAGGACCGGAGUGGACAGAUCUCUGGUGGACCGGUUAUCACGCCAGUGGUAUAGCCGGGUAGCUAAAUCUGGAAGAGAUAAACGCUGAAAGCAUCUAAGCGUGAAACUCGCCUUGAGAUGAGAUUUCCCUGGGGGUAUAACCCCCCUAAAGAGUCGUUCGAGACCAGGACGUUGAUAGGACGGAUGUGGAAGCGCAGUAAUGCGUUAAGCUGACCGUUACUAAUUGCUCGUGAGGCUUGAUC
rnacentral:rRNA from 1 species